rnacentral:rRNA from 1 species
AGCUCCAAUAGCGUAUAUUAAAGUUGUUGCAGUUAAAAAGCUCGUAGUUGAAUUUAUGGCGAUUGCAUGGACAGGCUUUGGUCGUUCAUGUGGUCGUCAUCCGCUUGGGAACCCCGUUCGGUCUUCAUUGGUCGGCGGGAGGAUCAGGCAUUUUACUUUGAAAAAAUAAGAGUGUUCAAGGCAGGCAAACCGUCAUGAAUACACAAGCAUGGAAUAAUGGAAUAGGACUGUGAUCCAUUUUAUUGGUUAUUGGAUUACAGUAAUGAUUAAUAGGGACAGUUGGGGGCAUUAGUAUUUAAUUGUCAGAGGUGAAAUUCUUGGAUUACUUAAAGACUAACUUAUGCGAAAGCAUUUGCCAAGGAUGUUUUCAUUA